rnacentral:rRNA from 1 species
ACAGCAGCCGCCGCGGGAAUACGGAGGGUGCAAGCGUUAAUCGGAAUUACUGGGCGUAAAGCGCACGCAGGCGGUCUGACAAGUCAGAUGUGAAAUCCCCGGGCUUAACCUGGGAACUGCAUUUGAAACUGUCAGGCUGGAGUCUUAUAGAGGGGGGUGGAAUUCCAGGUGUAGCGGUGAAAUGCGUAGAGAUCUGGAGGAAUACCUGUGGCGAAGGCGGCCCCCUGGACAAAGACUGACGCUCAGGUGCGAAAGCGUGGGGAGCAAACAGGAUUAGAUACCCCAGUAGUCCCUGUCUCUUAUAC